GAUUAUCCAGGUUAAUUUCCUGGGGGCUGAUGAGGAGUAGGGUUUCUGGGCAACUUAAACGGACCCAGAGUUAGUCGAUCCUAAUCAAAUUAAAUUUAGAGAAAGGGAAUAUGAAUGAUAUUUCAUAACUAAAAUUAAUUUUUAAAUGGUGACAUUUUUUUAAACUUAUUUCCAUCAAUUAAAUACUGUUUAAUAGGGAUUUCUUUCCUAUAUAACUUUUUAAUUAAAACUUAAGAAACAGGUUAACUGGAGAAUAAAGUUUUAAUUUAGUAAAAUUAUAAUUUCGAUUAUAAUAACGGCUAUUUAAAUGAUCCAUGAAACAAUAAGUUUAUUUUUUCAAAAAUUAAUUUAAUCGUACCGAUAACCGCAUCAGGUCUCCAAGGUGAGUAGCUUCUGGCCAUUGAGUAAUGGUAAUUUAGGGAAUUCGGCCAAUUAGAGCUGUAACUUCGGGAUAAAGCUUGGCUCUGAUGGAAAUCAGAACCGAUAGUUACAAGGAGAGCCCAACUGUUUAAUAAAAACUUAGUGUCGCGUCAUACCUUUAUAAGUAAUAAACGUGACAUGAAUCCUGCUCAGUGCUGUGUUUGUUAAACUGGAUUAAUCCAUUUAAGCGCCGGUAAAUAGCUGGGGUAACUAUGACUCUUAUCAAAGUAGCGAAAUACCUCGUCACUUAAUUAGUGACCUGCAUGAACGGAGCUAUGAGGUUCUCACUGUCCCAAAUUAUCACUCAGCGAACCAACAGUUGUGGGAACGGGCACAAAUUAUCCAGCGGGGAAAGAAGACCCUGUAGAGCUUCACUUUGGUCUAAUCUUGUAUAGUUUCGUUAGGGGUGCAGUCUAGGUGGGAGAUUUUUAAUCAAAUAUGAGAAACCACUACCCUUUCUGGAAUUAUACUUACUAAAAUUCUUUUAUAAAUUUUAGGAUCGGAUUAGAUAGAAAGUUUGGCUGGGGCGGCACACCUUCGAAAAAGCAGCGAAGGUGUCCUAAGUUAAGCUCAGUAAGGACAGAAAUCUUACGUUGAGGAUAAGGCCAAAAGCUUAAUUUACUGUGCCUUUUUGUACUAGGAUCAGUUUGGAAACAAAGGCCUAACGAUCCCUAAUUAGUCUUAGGUGUGUAAGACUUGGGGUGACAGACAAGUUACCUCCGGGACAACUGGCUUGUGGCUGCUAAGAGAUCAAAUCAACGCAGCUUUUUGAUUCUUCGAUGUCGGCUCUUCCUAUCCUAGUGAUGUACAAGUCACUAAGGGUUGGAUUGUUCACCCGUAUUAGGGAUCGUGAGCUGGGUUUAGACCGUCGUGAGCCAGGUUUGUUUUAUCCUACUGGAUAUAAUUUAGCAUCUUGAUAGUAGUUUGAUUUAGUACGAGAGGAACUGUUGAAUAUGGUCUCUGGUUUGGGAAUUUUAUGAAAAUAAAAGUUCCAAAGCUACGCCGUCUGAGAUAAUGGCUGAAGGCCUCUUAAGCCAGAAACUCAUCUAAAAAUAGAUGCUUUAAACUAUUUAAA
rnacentral:rRNA from 1 species